ACAAACUUGGUCAUUUAGAGGAAGUAAAAGUCGUAACAAGGUCUCCGUUGGUGAACCAGCGGAGGGAUCAUUACCGAGUUAACGAAACUCCCAAACCCCUAUGUGAACCUUACCUUUUCGUUGCCUCGGCGGGCCCCCUUCCGGGGGGGACCGCCAGGGGACCCAAAUUCUAUGUUUUCCUUAUGGUAUCUUCUGAGUCGGGCUCGUAGAGCCGAAACAAAAUCAAUCAAAACUUUCAACAACGGAUCUCUUGGUUCUGGCAUCGAUGAAGAACGCAGC
rnacentral:misc_RNA from 1 species